rnacentral:rRNA from 1 species
GAUGAACGCUGACAGAAUGCUUAACACAUGCAAGUCUACUUGAAUUUGGGUUUUUAACUUAGGUUUGGGUGGCGGACGGGUGAGUAACGCGUAAAGAACUUGCCUCACAGCUAGGGACAGCAUUUAGAAGUGAAUGCUAAUACCUAAUAUUAUGAUAAUAGGGCAUCCUAUAAUUAUGAAAGCUAUAUGCGCUGUGAGAGAGCUUUGCGUCCUAUUAGCUAGUUGGUAAGGUAAAGGCUUACCAAGGCGAUGAUAGGUAGCCGGCCUGAGAGGGUGGACGGCCACAAGGGGACUGAGAUACGGCCCUUACUCCUACGGGAGGCAGCAGUGGGGAAUAUUGGACAAUGGAGGAAACUCUGAUCCAGCAAUUCUGUGUGUGUGAAGAAGAUCUUCGGAUUGUAAAACACUUUUAGUUGGGAAGAAACAAAUGACGGUACCAAC